rnacentral:rRNA from 1 species
AGUGAACGCUGGCGGUAGGCCUAACACAUGCAAGUCGAACGGCAGCACACUAAGAGCUUGCUCUUAUGGGUGGCGAGUCGCGGACGGGUGAGGAAUGUAUCGGACUCUACUCUUUCGUGGGGGAUAACGUAGGGAAACUUACGCUCAUACCGCAUCCGCCCUACGGGUGAAAGCAGGGGAUCUUCUGACCUUGCGCGAUUGAAUGCGCCGAUGUCGGGUUAGCUAGUUGGCGGGUUAAAGGCCCACCAAGUCGACGAUCCGUAGCUGGUCAGAGUGGAUGGUCAGCCACACUGGAACUGAGACGCGGUCCAGACUCCUACGGGAGGCAGCAGUGGGGAAUAGUGGACAAUGGGGGCAAGCCUGAUCCAGCCAUAGCGCGUGGGUGAAGAAGGCCUUCGGGUUGUAAAGCCCUUUUGUUGGGAAAGAAAAGCAGCAGGUUAAUACCCCGCUGUUCUGACGGUACCCAAAGAAUAAGCACCGGCUAACUUCGUG